UACGGAGGGUGCAAGCGUUAUCCGGAAUCACUGGGUUUAAAGGGUACGUAGGCUGUUAUUUAAGUCAGUCGUGAAAGUUUGUUGCUUAACAAUAAAAUUGCGAUUGAUACUGAAUAGCUAGAAUUUGGUUGAGGCUGGCGGAAUGAGACAAGUAGCGGUGAAAUGCAUAGAUAUGUCUCAGAACACCAAUUGCGAAGGCAGCUGGCUAAGCCAAUAUUGACGCUGAGGUACGAAAGUGUGGGUAGCAAACGGG
rnacentral:rRNA from 1 species